GAUCAUGGCUCAGGAUGAACGCUAGCUACAGGCUUAACACAUGCAAGUCGAGGGGCAGCAUGGUCUUAGCUUGCUAAGGCCGAUGGCGACCGGCGCACGGGUGAGUAACACGUAUCCAACCUGCCGUCUACUCUUGGACAGCCUUCUGAAAGGAAGAUUAAUACAAGAUGGCAUCAUGAGUCCGCAUGUUACACAGUGUAAGUUUAAAAGGUUAGUUCCGGUAGACGAGUGGGGUA
rnacentral:rRNA from 1 species